GUAAAUUCCAGCUCAUUUCAAGAGAAAAAGCAGUAGGAAGACACUUAUCUGAAAAGUUGGACUUGCCAUUGCUCAUGUAAUGGAAAUUUUACAGUCUCCAGUAAUAACAAGGAAAGUGCUUCAUCUUCAAAGCGCCUUGAAAACAUUUGUUAUCUGAAAAUCUGCAGGAUUGGAUGUCCUUCCACCGUUUAAAGUCUCUCCCACUACUGCACAAGCACUGUAAACAAGGAGGAUGCAGCAGCCACGCAGAUGGGGAGAGGAUGAGGUGUCCCUGCUGCCUGUUCCCAGCACAGGAGGGCUUGGGUUGCACUGAGCCGCAACUAACGGGAGGGCUGUGGCCCCUUGGCUUCUUCUGCUUUGUUCAGCAGAAGCCAGUCAUGCUUUGAGAAGCCUACCUAAAAGUUGUGUUAGUUUCUGUAAUGGACAUAAGACAAUUUAUACUCUGGACAUAUGAAUGAAAUAAAUAGAUAUAUAAAGGCUUCCUCUAAUAUGAG
rnacentral:lncRNA from 1 species